GAAAUGCGAUAAGUAAUGUGAAUUGCAGAAUUCAGUGAAUCAUCGAAUCUUUGAACGCACAUUGCGCCCGCCAGUAUUCUGGCGGGCAUGCCUGUCCGAGCGUCAUUUCAACCAUCAAGCCCCCGGGCUUGUGUUGGGGACCUGCGGCUGCCCGCAGGCCCUGAAAACCAGUGGCGGGCUCGCUGUCACACCGAGCGUAGUAGCAAUCACCUCGCUCAGGGCGUGCUGCGGGUUCCGGCCGUUAAACAGCCUUACAAAACCCAAGGUUGACCUCGAAUCAGGUAGGAAUACCCGCUGAACUUAAGA
rnacentral:misc_RNA from 1 species